GCCAUGUUUGUCAAAGUAUUUGGCACCAGUGACAUCAUCUCUGUUGAAAUGCCAGAUAGCGUGAUGAGUCCCAGAUGUUAACACACAGCAAAAGUUGAGAAAUAAUGAAAUAUAAAGAUCAACUGUAACAGCUAAGAAGGACUGUACUCAGUUCACAUCUGGUGAUGAAUGAUACAGGAAGAAUAUGGGGUUUUUUCAAGGGUUCCUAAAGCUAUUGAGACUUACAGGAGAGGAAAGGAACUCCUACCAAGAGUCAAAGAGAUCCCCCAGAGCUCUCUGAAGUCUUCAAAUUGUCUUGUAUAGAAAUGCCUGAGUAUCAGAAAUGAACAAAGGUUAUAAAAUCUUUCCAGCCGUCUCACUGUAAAGUUCAUCUGAGGAGGUUAUUCUCUUCUACAGUUAAAAAUUUGGUUUUAGUUU